AACUAGGAGAAAUUAAACAGACAGCCCCAGGGUAAGAGCAAGUGAAUUACGCAAGUGACCAUCCAAGCUUAGGUGGAGCAAAGGGAUGGGGAUAAAAAGGGGCAGCUGGCUGCCUUCUGUCCUCUAGCAGCUCUACAUCCUGAUCUGCAGGGAGGUGGUGGCUUGUCCUCUGCUCCACUGGGUACAGCUGUGCAAGGUGCCUAACAGGAAGAAAUCCUCACUCGGUGCCAUGUGGCGGCAAUCAUAGCUCCUCUUCCUGGUGUGUCUGGUUCUGUCCAGUGGCUCUGCUGACAAGUUUAUAGAUGAUGAAGAGGAAGAUGGCUGCACGUUAAUGGAUGCUCUCCCGUACAUGGUCGUGGGAUGAGUCGCUCUGAUGUAUGGAGGACCAGCCCUGGUGGAUGCAUUGGGGUUCCAGGCCACUGGCAUAGCAGCCAAUUCCGUGGGUUCCUGGUUGAUGAGCUGGUCUGCCAUAAGUUCGGGAGGCAGCGUGCCUGCAGGGGGAGUCGUGGCCACGCUCCAGAGCCUCGGUAGGUGGGAUGUGCCCUGUCAAGGUUGCUUCCCCACUCUGAACUCUAGGGUACAGAUGUGGGGACCUGCAUGAAAAAACCCCUAAGCUUAUUUUUACCAGCUUAGGUUAAAACUUCCCCAAGGUAAAAUAUUUUACCUUUUGCCCUUGGACUUUAUUGCUGCCACCACCAAGCGUCUAACAAAUAUAGACCAGGGAAAGAGGCUGCUUGGAAACAUCUUUCCCCCCAAAAUCCUCCCAAAUUCUACACCCCCUUUCCUGGGGAAGGCUUGAUAAAAAUCCUCACCAAUUUGCAUAGGUGAACACAGACCCAAACCCUUGGAUCUUAAGAACAAUGAAAAAGCAAUCAGGUUCUUAAAAGAAGAAUUUUAAUUGAAGAAAAAGUAAAAGAAUCACCUCUGUAAAAUCAGGAUGGUAAAUACCUUACAGGGUAAUCAGAUUCAAAACGUAGAGAAUCCCUCUAGGCAAAACCUUAAGUUACAAAAGACACAAAAACAGGAAUAUACAUUCCAUUCAGCACAACUUAUUUUAUCAGCCAUUUAAAAAAACAGAAUCUAACGCAUAUCUAGCUAGAUUGCUUAUUAGCCCUUUACAGGAGUUCUGACCUGCAUUCCUGCUCUGGUCCCAACAAAAAGCAACACACAGACCAAGAAAGACUUUGUUUCUCACCCCCCAGCUUUGAAAGUAUCUUGUCUCCUUAUUAGUCAUUUUGGUCAGGUGCCAGCGAGGUUAUCCUAGCUUCUUAACCCUUUACAGGUGAAAGGGUUUUUCCUCUGGCCAGGAGGGAUUUAAAGGUGGUUAGCCUUCCCUUUAUAUUAUGACAUGCCCAGUGCAAGGAACACUUCAAACCCAGUGUGGGGCUUUUAAAGAGCUUAUUCCCCUUUUGUUUGCGUCCUUUCCCUCAGGAUCGCUAGGAUGGGGGGGUGGUUUGUAAGACGAGCAGGGGGCUGGGAGUCGUGGCACUUGGGAGGGGCCUUUUAGUACUAGAGGUCCCAACUGAAACCAAAGUUUGGUUUCACCCAGUUUGUGGAAGCUGCAGCUGCCUGGCUCUAGUCUGCUCCCUGAAAGAACAACUGACCAGCACAGGUAAAUGCCUGUGUCACCUGCUCAUACCCUCCACCCAAGUUCCUCUGUGCCCCGCCAAGAGGUGGGGGGGGAAGCAGCUCCUCCCCAGGUGCCUUGUGCCUGCGGAUCAGUGUCCCUUUCAUCACAGGGGCUGGGUACCUAGCUCCUGGCAUCACCUCUCCCUCCCACUGGGAGGAAGUAGGAGGUGAAUGCCUCUGCCUUGUAUAGUUUAGGGGGGCAAUGCCCCCCAUCUACCUCUCCGCCCUCUCCACCAAUGAGCCUGGGCCCUUACUGAGGGCACCAGUGCAGCCCUUAAGGUGAUUCCAUUUUUUGUUUGUAGCUACUACCAGGGCAGGAUCAUUCCCUGCCUGUCUGUCACUAGCAGUGGAGUGGUAAUAUUCCUUGUCUCUACACAGUGGUGCCUUCAGUCCCUAGCCACGCACAGAGUCUACAUGAGUUUCAGUGCAAGACCACAUGGACCAACUCCUCAUAACUGGAGUGGUGGCCCUUCGGCCUGUGUGAGUGCCUGUCUCUGGCCUGGCCACUGAACUGUUCAUGUCCUGACCCUUCAGCAUCCAAAGGGCAUGGCUGAUCAGGAGCCCAAUCCUGGAGACCUCAUAGAGCCACACUUCUUCACCCGAGGCAUUUCACUGAGGCCAAUGAAUGCAACAGCAGCCCCCCCCCACACCUUUGCUCUUAUGGGAGCACCCACCAGAUAAACCCUGCUGAUGACUCGCCUUCAGACACCGGAGUGCAAUUUAGAUAGAGAAAUGAAUCAUUCACCUGGCAAGCUCCAACAACCCCAGCAUCUUGGGAGUUCUCCGGGAGUCUUCUCUGUCUGUAAUGAGACUGUAUCUCCUAUGUUCUGAGAAGUGCCCCACCUGCUUUUGCGCCAAACAUGAGGAGCUCUGGCAGCUGGGGAAGGCUGGAGUUUACAGUAUGACUCCCUGCAAGGUAUUCAGUUCUAGUGAUUGCCCAAGGCCCUGUAUGAGACGGGGCAGAGCUGCCACAGGAGUGAAUGCUCCAAGGGUCCUUUAAUACUCGUUCGGUUUCCAUAGAAAACAGAUAGUGAUUCCCAUUGCUCUGCCCCCAGAGGAUUGUGACAAUGUAGCAUAGCUUGUUUAAAUAGAUGAGCUAUUAAGAGACGCUAAAGAUCACUGCUGCAUUAGCUGCCAUUAUUUUGUUGCAGCUCACCCUUCCUCUAUCCCUCUCCUUUCAAAUGAUAAACUCCCAAGCAUAGGGAUCGUGGGCAAGACUGCUGUCAUUUACGCCGCUGUAACUCUGGUGUUAAACCAUUCUAGCAGAUGAGAAUCUGGCCCCUUGUUUGUACCUGUUGUCAGGAAAGCAGCAAGCAUAGCAUACGUGAAUGCUACCCAGUGGACCCUCCAAAAUCUCCGCAAUCUUAAUGAUCGAUAUUGCCUCGUUGUUUACUUACACCUCCCCUCCCCUCUGCUGUCUUUUGUCUUAAACUUAGAUUGUAAACCCCUGGGAUAGGGACUGUCUUUUUGCUGUUUGUACAGUGCCUGGCACAACGGGGUCAUGGUUCAUGGCUUGGGCUCCUAAACGCUACAACGAAUGAUGCGACACCUGCGGGUUGCAAUCAAACAUUUUCUCUCACAAAAUGAUCUGAGAUGCGGUUGGGGUUUAAGACAGAACCCCUUCAAUGGAUUUCACCCUUUCGUUCUUAUUCUGGGGGUGCAUUGAGGGUGCUUACAGUGAGAGCUUCUCUAGGGAGAUUCCUCGCCCAUUCGGCAUUCGGGACCCUAGAAACCAGCGAGACUGGAAAAAGCUUUCAUCGCUCUCCUUUUUUCUCCUGGCCUGAGCAGUGCCGCAUAGAGACAAUGUGCAGCCUUCCGUAAUGUAAACCACGUUGAGUCUCAGUCCCAAAAUCUUGUGCUGAGGGACUGAAUAAAGCUUUGGGUGAAAAUGGGUUCUAAUCAUCAUAGGCACUUUAUUUUUCCAAAGAAUAAUAAAGAGAAAUACAAAGCCACCCGCAAAUCAGUGUGGCGUGCAGGCUGGCUGGGUCAAUUCUCAAGCUCUGAGCACCCUCCAUAGGGGCCAGACCCUUGAGAUGU